rnacentral:sRNA from 1 species
UUAUAAAUCAGUCGUAACGUAGGCUCGGUUUACUCAUAAUUCCGUUAUUUUUUCAUAACUCAUAUAUUUUUGUCGUAAGUCAGCCGCAACAUAUCGUAACUCAGCCGUAACUGCCGUUGUAUCGUCUUACGGCUGAGUUCAUUAAUCCACGUCAGCGAUUUCUGACGUGACAGUUGUAUUCCUUGUAAUUACGUUUUAUCCUAUAACGUUUAGUAGGGGCACGAUGGGUAUAUCGAAAAAGGCCUAAAAAUGUUAUGUAUGAUUUUGGUGAAUACACCUAAUUCUAACUAUCCAAGUAAAGUUCCCAAAAAUAAUUGGUUCUAUAAAAGUUAAGUAUUUACAUUCUUCUUUAAUUAAUUAUAUGUAAUUUUUAAAAAUGAUUUUACUUAUCAUAUUUUUUUUUUAAUUGAUAAGUAUGAUGAAUUAGUUAGUCUUAUCUAUGCAUAGGCUGUCUAGAAUACUCCCGUAAGAUUAUUUUUUUAUAGUAAGAUAUUCGGUUCCUUGUUUUUAAACAAGCCAUUGAAUUAGUUUGUUCAUUAUUAUUUCAUAUGAUUCAAUC